GUCCUCUCGUUUUUGUGGGAGGUCGGGCCUGCCCGGUGAAAGUGUUUUAACGGCCGCGGUAUUUUGACCGUGCAAAGGUAGCAUAAUCAUUAGUCUUUUAAUAGGGGGCUGGAAUGAAGGGUUUGACGAAAUAAUGACUGUCUCAUUAAUAAUAUUUGAAUUUAACUUUUAAGUUAAAAGGCUUAAAUUUAGUUGGAAGACGAGAAGACCCUAUAGAGCUUUAUUUAUGAUUAUAAAAUUUUUUAUUGUCUAUUUUCUUGUUUUAUAAUCAUGUAUUUUGUUGGGGAGACAAAGAAAUAUAUAAAACUUUCAUUAUUUUAUUACAUUUAUUUAUGAUUUUGUGAUCCGUUAUUAUCGAUUAUUAGAAUAAGUUACCUUAGGGAUAACAGCGUAAUCUUCUUUGGGAGUUCAAAUUUACAAGAAGGCUUGCGACCUCGAUGUUGGAUUAAGAUAAUAGUUAGGUGCAGUAGCUUAAUUAAUAGGUCUGUUCGACCUUUAAAUUCUUACAUGAUCUGAGUUCAGACCGG
rnacentral:rRNA from 1 species